rnacentral:misc_RNA from 1 species
CCUGUCUCCUUCAUUAUCCUCAUAAACAAGCGUAUAUUCCCCACUUCCAUCCAAUACACCCGUAAUCACUUUCUCUUCCUCUUGAUCGCUCAUGAUUCCACCAGCAGAGGAAUCUCUUUGAGCUGCUAGGAGGCCUCUGAAGAGUUCAUCAACAGCAGUGGACAAUUUCUCAUAGCUGUCGCAGGCUUUCAGAUCUACUUUCCUACCAAUGGGAACACCAUCCAUAUUGAUCUUCACAAACAUCCCUUUUUGGCAAGUUUCAACUGGUUUUUCACUAGCAACUUUCUUGUUUGGGCUUUCAUUUUGCGAGUCAAUAGCACGUUUUGAAGAGCUGCUGCUUGCAAGAUUCUUCCUGCAUGAACGAAUUGGAGGCCAACCCACAACU